UAAUGGGUCAGCGACUUAUAUUCAGUGGCAAGGUUAACCAUCUAGGGGAGCCGUAGGGAAACCGAGUCUUAACUGGGCGUUCAGUCUCUGGAUAUAGACCCGAAACCAGGUGAUCUAGCCAUGGGCAGGUUGAAGGUUGAGUAACAUCAACUGGAGGACCGAACCGACUAAUGUUGAAAAAUUAGCGGAUGACUUGUGGCUAGGGGUGAAAGGCCAAUCAAACCUGGAGAUAGCUGGUUCUCCCCGAAAGCUAUUUAGGUAGCGCCUCGGACGAAUACUACUGGGGGUAGAGCACUGUUAAGGCUAGGGGGUCAUCCCGACUUACCAACCCUUUGCAAACUCCGAAUACCAGUAAGUACUAUCCGGGAGACACACGGCGGGUGCUAACGUCCGUCGUGGAGAGGGAAACAACCCAGACCGCCAGCUAAGGUCCCAAAUUACUACUAAGUGGGAAACGAUGUGGGAAGGCUCAGACAGCCAGGAUGUUGGCUUAGAAGCAGCCAUCAUUUAAAGAAAGCGUAAUAGCUCACUGGUCGAGUCGGCCUGCGCGGAAGAUGUAACGGGGCUAAGUAGUAAACCGAAGCUGCGGCAAUAUACUUUUGUAUAUUGGGUAGGGGAGCGUUCUGUAAGCGGUUGAAGGUGUGUGGUAACGCAUGCUGGACGUAUCAGAAGUGCGAAUGCUGACAUGAGUAACGAUAAAGGGGGUGAAAAACCUCCUCGCCGGAAGACCAAGGGU
rnacentral:rRNA from 1 species